UACGUAGGGCGCGAGCGUUGUCCGGAAUUAUUGGGCGUAAAGAGCUCGUAGGCGGCCUGUCGCGUCCGCUGUGAAAACCCGGGGCUUAACCCCGGGCCUGCAGUGGAUACGGGCAGGCUGGAGGCAGACAGGGGAGAACGGAAUUCCCGGUGUAGCGGUGAAAUGCGCAGAUAUCGGGAGGAACACCGGUGGCGAAGGCGGUUCUCUGGGCCUGUACUGACGCUGAGGAGCGAAAGUGUGGGGAGCGAACAGG
rnacentral:rRNA from 1 species